GGGCCGUUAGCUUAGUGGCAGAGCACCCGGUUUGCAUCCGGGAGAUGCGAGUUCGAUUCUCGCACGGUCCACCA
rnacentral:tRNA from 2 species